rnacentral:sRNA from 3 species
GUCGCUGUAAGUCCAGCGGCCUGGGAUUGGCCUCCCGGAAAUCACAGGCGGACACGACCGCCAGCAGAGCGGUUUUUUU